UCGAGCGCGCACGGGAGCCCUCGACGCCGCCAUGGCGAGGAGGGCUGAGAGGGCGAAGCAGCCGACCGUCGAACCUGAUCCGGGUCAUGCCGGCGUGAGGGAGCAGAUGCAGUCGCAAC
rnacentral:ncRNA from 1 species